UCCCUUGUCGCUUAGGUGGUAAAGAAUCUGCCUGUAAUGCAGGAGACCUGGGUUCAAUCCCCAGGUUGGGAA
rnacentral:tRNA from 1 species